CCCUAGCCCUGAUGGGAGCGACAUCCUUUUUCUGGCUUCUUUUGCCAGGAAAAGAUACAGCAGACAGCAGGAAAUAGC
rfam:Flavobacterium sp. ov086 genome assembly, contig: Ga0070134_132